rnacentral:misc_RNA from 1 species
CCAAACUUGGUCAUUUAGAGGAAGUAAAAGUCGUAACAAGGUUUCCGUAGGUGAACCUGCGGAAGGAUCAUUAAAGGGAACGCUGGUCUCACCAGCAUCCUCCAACCCAAUGUGUACCCGCCUUGUUGCCUCGGCGUGCCUGCGCCCGCCAGUGGCGCUGCCGGCUCCGGCUGGAUAGCGCACGCCAGAGGAAUUUCAAACUCCGGCUUCAACGAGUGCAGUCUGAGCUUCAAUCAAAUAAGUUAAAACUUUCAACAACGGAUCUCUUGGUUCUGGCAUCGAUGAAGAACGCAGC